GACGAACGCUGGCGGCGUGCCUAAUACAUGCAAGUCGAGCGGACGAAUCGAAAGCUUGCUUUUGAUUCGUUAGCGGCGGACGGGUGAGUAACACGUGGGCAACCUGCCCUGUAGACGGGGAUAACACCGAGAAAUCGGUGCCAAUACCGGAUAACACGAAAUGUCGCAUGACGUUUCGUUGAAAGACGGCGCAAGCUGUCGCUACAGGAUGGGCCCGCGGCGCAUUAGCUAGUUGGUGAGGUAACGGCUCACCAAGGCGACGAUGCGUAGCCGACCUGAGAGGGUGAUCGGCCACACUGGGACUGAGACACGGCCCAGACUCCUACGGGAGGCAGCAGUAGGGAAUCUUCCGCAAUGGACGAAAGUCUGACGGAGCAACGCCGCGUGAGCGAAGAAGGCCUUCGGGUCGUAAAGCUCUGUUGUUAGGGAAGAACAAGUAACGCAGUAACUGGCGUUACCGUGACGGUACCUAACGAGAAAGCCACGGCCAACUACGUGCCAGCCGCCGCGGUAA
rnacentral:rRNA from 1 species